GGGGAUGAUCGGUUUCGACUGCGGUUGUUGAGGCAGGGGAAGCGAGCCGAGGAACGCGGUAAUGAUCUCGUAAACCAUGUACCGCAAAAAAAUAAUCGCCAACACCAAGCGCGAUUCCUUCGCCCUCGCUGCCUGAUCUAACAGACAGCGACUUUGCGAAGUGUCAGCCCGGGGCUGUUCCCGACCCGGAUCCUGGCAUCAGCUAGGGGACUCAACCACUAGGCCCGGCCACGGGGGCUAGUGGGAAACCAAACAGUGGCUGAGCCCGUCGGCAGCUUGUCUGCGUGACUGCCGGGGCCGAGAAAAGCACAGCAGACUGCGCUCGGAGAAGCCCUGGUUCUGCACCGUAGGACGCGGGUUCGAUUCCCGCCAUCUCCACGA
rnacentral:tmRNA from 1 species